rnacentral:rRNA from 1 species
AGGAUGAACGCUGGCGGCGUGCCUAACACAUGCAAGUCGAACGUCCUGUCUCGCAAGAGGCAGGGAGUGGCGGACGGGUGAGUACCACGUGGGUCAUCUACCGUGAGGUGAGGAAUACCGGCGAGAAAUCGCCGACAAGACCGCAUAGGCUCGAUGCAAGUCGAGCAAAGCUCUUUCGAGAGAGGGAGCGCCACACGAGGAGCCUGCGCCCGAUUAGCUAGCUGGUGGAGUAACGGUUCACCAGGGCGACGAUCGGUAGCUGGUCUGAGAGGACGAUCAGCCACACUGGGAUUGAGAACGGCCCAGACUCCUACGGGGGGCAGCAGUGAGGAAUUUCGUCAAUGGGGGCAACCCUGAACGAGCAACGCCGCGUGCAGGAAGAAGGUUUCGGAUCGUAAACUGCUUUUCUCGGGAAGAGAACGGACGGUACCCGAGGAAUCAGCCCCGGCUAACUACGUGCCAGCAGCCGC